rnacentral:misc_RNA from 1 species
GCUUUUUUCUUUUUCUUUACCUUCUCUUCUUUCUUGCUGGUCUACACAUCAGUUUCUUCGAUUUGUUGAUCUAACCUUUACUCUCUGGAUCUUUCCCUUCAAUGGCCACUGAAGAUCCUGGAGAGAGAAACCAAAUUAGCCAAAGUAAAGUGAGUGGCUUCGUAGUGAAUUAUAUCAGUUUUUGAUGAAUUAAUUGCUAAAGGGCCUAACUUUGGCGAGGAAUUUUUUUGGGGGGGGGAG